rnacentral:rRNA from 1 species
GUGGGGUAAAGGCCUACCAAGGCAUCGAUCAGUAGCUGGUCUGAGAGGAUGAUCAGCCACACUGGGACUGAGACACGGCCCAGACUCCUACGGGAGGCAGCAGUGGGGAAUUUUCCGCAAUGGGCGAAAGCCUGACGGAGCAACGCCGCGUGAGGGAUGAAGGCCUCUGGGCUGUAAACCUCUUUUAUCAAGGAAGAAGAUCUGACGGUACUUGAUGAAUAAGCCACGGCUAAUUCCGUGCCAGCAGCCGCGGUAAUACGGGAGUGGCAAGCGUUAUCCGGAAUUAUUGGGCGUAAAGCGUCCGCAGGCGGCCUGAUAAGUCUGUUGUCAAAGCGUGGAGCUUAACUCCAUUUCGGCAAUGGAAACUGUGAGGCUUGAGUGUGGUAGGGGCAGAGGGAAUUCCCGGUGUAGCGGUGAAAUGCGUAGAUAUCGGGAAGAACACCAGUGGCGAAGGCGCUCUGCUGGGCCAUAACUGACGCUCAUGGACGAAAGCCAGGGGAGCGAAAGGGAUUAGAUACCCCUGUAGUCCUGGCCGUAAACGAUGAACACUAGGUGUCGGGGGAAUCGACCCCCUCGGUGUCGUAGCCAACGCGUUAAGUGUUCCGCCUGGGGAGUACGCACGCAAGUGUGAAACUCAAAGGAAUUGACGGGGGCCCGCACAAGCGGUGGAGUAUGUGGUUUAAUUCGAUGCAACGCGAAGAACCUUACCAGGGUUUGGCAUCCUGCGAAUCCCUUGGAAACUUGGGAGUGCCUUCGGGAGCGCAGAGACAGGUGGUGCAUGGCUGUCGUCAGCUCGUGUCGUGAGAUGUUGGGUUAAGUCCCGCAACGAGCGCAACCCACGUCUUUAGUUGCCAGCAUUCAGUUGGGCACUCUAGAGAGACCGCCGGUGAUAAACCGGAGGAAGGUGUGGAUGACGUCAAGUCAUCAUGCCCCUUACAUCCUGGGCUACACACGUACUACAAUGCUACGGACAAAGGGCAGCAAACUCGCGAGAGCUAGCAAAUCCCAUAAACCGUGGCUCAGUUCAGAUCGUAGGCUGCAACUCGCCUACGUGAAGGAGGAAUCGCUAGUAAUCGCAGGUCAGCAUACUGCGGUGAAUACGUUCCCGGGCCUUGUACACACCGCCCGUCACACCAUGGAAGUUGGCCACGCCCGAAGCCG